AUUUCAGUUCUAAUGUCAGUCUAUUUCGGAGCAUCAGAGAGAAGUGCAGGCAUUUCAGUGGCACCAAAAUGAGGCAUCAAAUUCCGCACUGCUAUUUGGUCUGGUAGAUACUGGCUGGUUGGGCACCGGUGCCAUAUUAGUACCGGGUUUCUGUAACCA